rnacentral:rRNA from 1 species
UACGGGAGGCAGCAGUGGGGAAUAUUGCACAAUGGGCGAAAGCCUGAUGCAGCGACGCCGCGUGAGGGAUGACGGCCUUCGGGUUGUAAACCUCUUUCAGCUCCGAAGAAGCGAGAGUGACGGUAGGAGCAGAAGAAGCACCGGCUAACUACGUGCCAGCAGCCGCGGUAAUACGUAGGGUGCAAGCGUUGUCCGGAAUUAUUGGGCGUAAAGAGCUCGUAGGCGGUGUGUCGCGUCUGCUGUGAAAACUCAGGGCUCAACUCUGAGCUUGCAGUGGGUACGGGCACACUAGAGUGCUGUAGGGGAGACUGGAAUUCCUGGUGUAGCGGUGAAAUGCGCAGAUAUCAGGAGGAACACCGGUGGCGAAGGCGGGUCUCUGGGGCAGUUACUGACGCUGAGGAGCGAAAGCAUGGGGAGCGAACAGGAUUAGAAUACC